rnacentral:misc_RNA from 1 species
GAUGAAGAACGCAGUGAAAUGCGAUACGUAAUGUGAAUUGCAAAUUCAGUGAAUCAUCGAGUCUUUGAACGCACAUUGCGCCCCCUGGUAUUCCGGGGGGCAUGCCUGUCCGAGCGUCAUUGCUGCCCUCAAGCACGGCUUGUGUGUUGGGCCCCGUCCUCCGAUCCCGGGGGACGGGCCCGAAAGGCAGCGGCGGCACCGCGUCCGGUCCUCGAGCGUAUGGGGCUUUGUCACCCGCUCUGUAGGCCCGGCCGGCGCUUGCCGACACAUCAAUCUUUUUACCAGGUUGACCUCGGAUCAGGUAGGGAUACCCGCUGAACUUAAGCAUAUCAAUAAGCGGAGGA